rnacentral:rRNA from 1 species
UGGGGAAUAUUGCACAAUGGGGGAAACCCUGAUGCAGCGACGCCGCGUGAACGAAGAAGGUAUUCGUAUCGUAAAGUUCUGUCCUAUGGGAAGAUAAUGACAGUACCAUAGAAGAAAGCUCCGGCUAAAUACGUGCCAGCAGCCGCGGUAAUACGUAUGGUGCGAGCGUUGUCCGGAAUUAUUGGGCGUAAAGGGUACGCAGGCGGUUUAAUAAGUCGAAUGUUAAAGAUCGGGGCUCAACCCCGCAAAGCAUUGGAAACUGAUAAACUUGAGUAGUGGAGAGGAAAGUGGAAUUCCUAGUGUAGUGGUGAAAUACGUAGAUAUUAGGAGGAAUACCAGUAGCGAAGGCGACUUUCUGGACACAAACUGACGCUGAGGUACGAAAGCGUGGGGAGCAAACAGG